CCUACGGGAGACAGCAGUGGGGGAUAUUGCACAAUGGGGGAAACCCUGAUGCAGCUACGCCGCGUGUGGGAAGACGGUCUUCUGGAUUGUAAACCACUGUCCCCAGGGACGAAAAUGACGGUACCUGGGGAGGAAGCUCCGGCUAACUACGUGCCAGCAGCCGCGGUAAUACGUAGGGAGCAAGCGUUGUCCGGAAUUACUGGGUGUAAAGGGAGCGUAGGCGGGGAUGCAAGUUGGGUGUCAAAACUACCGGCUCAACCGAUAGUCGCACUCAAAACUGCAACUCUUGAGUGAAGUAGAGGCAAGCGGAAUGCCUAGUGUAGCGGUGAAAUGCGUAGAUAUUAGGAGGAACACCAGUGGCGAAGGCGGCCUGCUGGGCUUUUACUGACGCUGAGGCUCGAAAGUGUGGGGAGCAAACAGGAUUAGAUACCCCUGUAGUC
rnacentral:rRNA from 1 species